UGUACACUAUUGUUUGAUAAAUUGGUGGCAAAUAGCUGUGUGAGCUUCAUUUGGUCAGGUUGUUUCGACUGCAUGAUGCAUGAGACAUGGAUUCCUAAGGAUUGUUCAAGUGCAUUCAGUGUUAACGGAUGGAACACAGAUUAGCCUUGGCCACAAUGAGCAGAAGGAGUACAAUAUGGGUGACUGCAGGUACGUCCCCAGGGACACCGCUACGUCACUGUUGAAGGAAUCACAGUUGUGCUGGAAGGUCCUGCGUUCCUGCUUGCUGUGUCUGCCUUCUCAUCUUAUUUUAUGAUCGUUUAUGUGA